rnacentral:lncRNA from 1 species
AACGAUCUUAUAUUUCUUCACAGUGGGAGUACUAAUUUAGUUUUUGGACUUUAUGUUGCUCUUUCUAUAGCACAAGUCGAUCUUCACCAUGUGAAAGAUACUAUAGAUGAUGAAAAACGCAUGGGAUGAAGCAGUUGCCACACCGGCGCGGCGGUACGUCCCGCUGAAACAAAGAUGCAUACACAUACAUACAUUGUACUACACCACAUCAUCAAAUCACAAAGGGAGCAUUAAUUGAUCCACUACAUGGAGCGCGCGAUGCGGAUGCAGAACAGCUAUCGACGGAAAAGGAAGGUUCUAGCCGAUGAUCUGGUCGAGGACGCCGGUGUUCUUGAGGCCGAGCACGAUGCCGACGCCCAAGAUGUGGCCGAAGGAGCCGCAUGCGAGCGUGUCGGCGAGAGUGAAGCCGGCCGGGUCGCCCGUCUGCAGCCCGGACUCGCGCGCCUCCAGCUUGAGCCCCGCCGUCGCCUUCCUGUUCGCCGACGGCGCCAGCCCGAACCGCCCGGCGAACAGCAUCAGGGUCGUCGUGGUCACCAUGAUCUGCAUCCGCAUAUGGUAGUAAUUAUGUCAACGAACCAAACAAUCAAUGCCUGACUCAUUCGCAUGUAUACGUAGUAUGUGUGUGAUCUUACGAUAUUGGUGGAGGAG